CAUAGAAGAAGCUUGCUUCUUCUGAUGGCGACCGGCGCACGGGUGCGUAACGCGUAUCAAACCUGCCUCAUACUCGGGGAUAGCCUUGCGAAAGUAAGAUUAAUACCCGAUGUUGUUAUGUUGCCGCAUGGUGAUAUAACCAAAGAUUUAUCGGUAUGAGAUGGUGAUGCGUCCGAUUAGGUAGUAGGCGGGGUAACGGCCCACCUAGCCAUCGAUCGGUAGGGGUUCUGAGAGGAAGGUCCCCCACACUGGAACUGAGACACGGUCCAGACUCCUACGGGAGGCAGCAGUGAGGAAUAUUGGUCAAUGGACGGAAGUCUGAACCAGCCAAGUAGCGUGCAGGAUGACGGCCCUCUGGGUUGUAAACUGCUUUUAGUUGGGAAUAAAAAAGAGGACGUGUCCUCUAUUGUAUGUACCUUCAGAAAAAGGACCGGCUAAUUCCGUGCCAGCAGCCGCGGUAAUACGGAAGGUCCAGGCGUUAUCCGGAUUUAUUGGGUUUAAAGGGAGCGUAGGCGGAUUAUUAAGUCAGUGGUGAAAGACGGUGGCUCAACCAUCGUUAGCCAUUGAAACUGGUAGUCUUGAGUGCAGACAGGGAUGCUGGAACUCGUGGUGUAGCGGUGAAAUGCUUAGAUAUCACGAUGAGCUCCGAUCGCGAAGGCAGGUGUCCGGGCUGCAACUGACGCUGAGGCUCGAAAGUGUGGGUAUCAAACAGGAUUAGAUACCCUGGUAGUCCACACAGUAAGCGAUGUAUACUCGCGGUUUGCGAUAUAGUGUAAGCCGCCAAGCGAAAGCAUUAAGUAUACCACCUGGGGAGUAC
rnacentral:rRNA from 1 species